rnacentral:rRNA from 1 species
UACGGGGGGAACGAGCGUUGUUCGGAAUCACUGGGCGUAAAGGGUCGGUAGGCGGGACGGCAGGUCGGCGGUGAAAGCUCUCCGCUCAACGGAGAAUCCGCCGCCGAAACCGCUGUUCUUGAGGACGGAAGAGGGAAGUGGAAUUCCUGGUGUAGCGGUGAAAUGCGUAGAUAUCAGGAGGAACACCGGUGGCGAAGGCGGCUUCCUGGUCCGUACCUGACGCUGAGCGACGAAGGCUGGGGGAGCAAACAGG